rnacentral:rRNA from 1 species
GAUAAACGCUGGCGGCGUGCCUAACACAUGCAAGUCGAGCGAAGCACAAGAAUACGAUUCUUCGGAUGAAGAUUCCUGUGACUGAGCGGCGGACGGGUGAGUAACGCGUGGGUAACCUGCCUUACACAGGGGGAUAACAGUUAGAAAUGACUGCUAAUACCGCAUAAGACCACAGUACUGCAUGGUACAGUGGUAAAAACUGAGGUGGUGUAAGAUGGACCCGCGUCUGAUUAGGUAGUUGGUGGGGUAAUGGCCCACCAAGCCGACGAUCAGUAGCCGGCCUGAGAGGGUGGACGGCCACAUUGGGACUGAGACACGGCCCAG